rnacentral:rRNA from 1 species
CGAAAGCUAGUUGUAUUAUUAGUUAAUGCAAGAUCGACUACGUCGACUAAAGUUCUAGGUAGAAUAAUGAUGAUGACAAUUUUUUACCUAUAUGUCUUGACCAAGUCUCGUGCCAGCAGUCGCGGUAAUACGUGGAAGACUAGUGUUAUUCAUCUUUAUUAGGUUUAAAGGGUACCUAGACGGUAUUUCUAGCCCAAAAUAGGGUACGGAUUUACUAGAGUUUUAUGUGAGGAGGGGAGUACUCGUGGAGUAGAGAUGAAAUUUUGUUAUACUAUGAGGUAACUGGUGGCGGCGAAAGCAACCUUCUAUGUAUAAACUGACGUUGAGGGACGAAGGCUUGGGUAGCAAAUAGGAUUAGAUACCCUAGUAGUCCAAGCAGACAAUUCUGAAUGCCAUAGAUUAAAUUUUUUUUGAUCUAUAAAUGAAAGUGUAAGCAUUCCACCUUAGGAGUAAUGUGGCAACACAGGAACUGAAAUCAUUAGACCGUUUCUGAAACCAGUAGUGAAGUAUGUUAUUUAAUUUGAUGGUCCACAAAAAACCUUACCACAACUUGAAUAUUUUUUAAUUAAUACAAGCGUUGCACGGCUGUCUUCAGUUAAUGUCGUGAGAUUUUGGUUAACUCCAUUAAUUAACGUAAACCCUUACUUUAUUUA